UACGAAGGGUGCAAGCGUUACUCGGAAUUACUGGGCGUAAAGCGCGCGUAGGCGGCUUUGCAAGUGCGGCGUGAAAGUCCUGGGCUCAACCUGGGGACGGCGCUGCGGACUGCAUGGCUGGAGUCCGGAAGAGGGUGGUGGAAUUCCGAGUGUAGAGGUGAAAUUCGUAGAUAUCCGGAGGAACACCAGUGGCGAAGGCGGCUUUCUGGACACUAACUGACGCUGAGAUGCGAAAGCGUGGGGAGCAAACAGG
rnacentral:rRNA from 1 species